rnacentral:rRNA from 5 species
GGGUUGUGAGGUUAAGCGACUAAGCGUACACGGUGGAUGCCCUGGCAGUCAGAGGCGAUGAAGGACGUGCUAAUCUGCGAAAAGCGUCGGUAAGGUGAUAUGAACCGUUACAGCCGGCGAUGUCCGAAUGGGGAAACCCAGUGUGAUUCGUCACACUAUCGUUAACUGAAUACAUAGGUUAACGAGGCGAACCGGGGGAACUGAAACAUCUAAGUACCCCGAGGAAAAGA